AUUAGUUUUCUUGAACGCGAUCGAGUGAUCCCAUCACGCAACGUCAGUAGAACAAGCUUCUCUUGCCAAAUCUCGCGGGAACGGAUCAUUCACCGGUUUUAUAACCACACACUACACAGAUUUUGCCGUAGGUACCCGGUUUGAAAAGUGGUGUGAUUUCGGUUCGAACUCGAAAUAAUGAAUUUCAUAAAUAAAACUUUACAGUGUUUAUAAAAUAAAGAGCAAUUUAAGAGAUUUUCUAACAGAGAGUAGAGCGAGCUUGUAUGGAAUGGUUCUCAACAAUCUUCAAGAUGCAGAGAAACAAGAAGAAAAUCCUCCACGACAAUUUCAACAACCCAUGAACGCUAUGGAAAUAAAUGAAAUCAAGUUCGUCAAGCUUUUUAGGCUGAAUAAGCAACUGGUGCUCCAAUUGAUAGAAAAGUUGACGGCCUAUCUUCAAGCAGUAUAGAAAUAUAUCUGAAAACAAUAUAAAAAUAGUAAUUGAGAAACCAGUUCAACAAUAAAUAGAUUUAAUUGAUCAUUAUAAGAAUAAAUGAAUGAAUACAGACAAA